GAGUUAUAGUGAAGUAGAUGAAUAUGUAGUGUAGCCCAGGUGAAAUGCAUAGAUAUUCAUAGAAUACCGAUUGCGAAGGCAGUCUAAACUAACUGUAUACUGACGCUAAUGGACGAAAGCGUGGGGAGCGAACAGGAUUAGAUACCCUGGUAGUCCACGCCGUAAACGAUGGUCAACAGUUGUUUGGGGCUUUAUGCUUCAGUGAUUAAGAGAA
rnacentral:rRNA from 1 species